UAGGCAGCAGUCGGGAAUUUUGGGCAAUGGGCGAAAGCCUGACCCAGCAACGCCGCGUGAAGGAUGAAAUCCCUCGGGAUGUAAACUUCGCAAGAACAGGAAGAAUAAGUAAGGGUUAAUAUCUCUUACGAUGACGGUACUGUUUGUAAGCUCCGGCUAACUCCGUGCCAGCAGCCGCGGUAAUACGGGGGGAGCAAGCGUUGUUCGGAUUUACUGGGCGUAAAGGGCGCGUAGGCGGCCACCGCAAGUCGGUUGUGAAAUCUCUGGGCUUAACCCAGAAAGGUCAACCGAUACUGCGGGGCUAGAGUGCAGAAGGGGCAACUGGAAUUCUCGGUGUAGCGGUGAAAUGCGUAGAUAUCGAGAGGAACACCUGUGGCGAAGGCGGGUUGCUGGGCUGACACUGACGCUGAAGCGCGAAAGCUAGGGGAGCGAACGGGAUUAGAUACCCCGGUAGUCCUAGCCUUAAACGAUGAAUGCUUGGUGUCUGGGGUUAUAUAGUCCCCGGGUGCCGUCGCUAACGCUUUAAGCAUUCCGCCUGGGGAGUACGGUCGCAAGACUGAAACUCAAAGGAAUUGACGGGGACCCGCACAAGCGGUGGAGCAUGUGGUUUAAUUCGACGCAACGCGAAGAACCUUACCUGGGCUAGAAUGCCUCUGACAACCCUAGAGAUAGGGCCUUCUGGGUAAAACCAGACGGAGUGCAAGGUGCUGCAUGGCUGUCGUCAGCUCGUGUCGUGAGAUGUUGGGUUAAGUCCCGCAACGAGCGCAACCCUUAUCAAUAGUUGCCAGCGGUUCGGCCGGGCACUCUAUUGAGACUGCCGUUGACAAAACGGAGGAAGGUGGGGAUGACGUCAAGUCCUCAUGGCCUUUAUGUCCAGGGCUACACACGUGCUACAAUGGCA
rnacentral:rRNA from 1 species